CCUUAAGAGGCUUUUGUGGCCGUGUGUUGUAGUUUGCUGAUUAAAUAUCACGUGGUACGUUGGUAAUGCCCAGUGGAGCGUUUGAACCCUGGAUGUGUGAAGAAUCCUGUUGGAGCCUUUGUGCUUGGGCUGUGUACCAUAACUUCAUCCACUGGAACAAUACGGGAUAGGAAGACAGGAAGAGGCUCUUCUCACACUUACUCAUUUAUUAACUUUGUGGGGCUCUUGUUUAAGUGGAAAAUCCCUCCGUCCAAUAAAGGAGGAGAAGAAAGAUCCCAAUUCACCAUCGUUUUUUUUUAUUCCCGUUUUUCAUCUGUUCUCUAAAUCGCAUUCUCAUUGAAGGGUCGCCUUUUUUUUCGUCCGUUUUUUGGGGGUUCGUUGGGGACAUUUCUCCAGCGCAUUAUUGGUGUGGGACAAUGGGCAGGACUCACCCUAAUUCAGGAAUUUCUCUCUGUUUUUUCUUCUUUCUACUUCCUCUCUCUGUCCGUGGAUACGGUGGUCCCGGCGAAGUUUAGACACUCCAGCACAGAGCCUAUAAGAGGAACCAGGUUGAGACACUGCUCCAGAUUCUAGCACUUCCUGGGACAGACGUCAACGUGAAAGGCCUGGGAGGUGAAGAUCAAGUCAUGUGUCCUCCGAAACAUGACCCACCAAACUGCGCUUCUUAACACUCACCCGCUUAACCCGGAAGCCAGCCGCACCAAUAUGUCGGAGGAAACACUGUUCACCUGACGACCGAGGUCAGCCUAUAGGCCCCCGGCCCGCCACAAGGAGUCACUAAACCGCGAUGAGCCAAGACAAGCCCUCCCGAGCAAACCCUCCCCUAACCUAUGGGACUCCCAAUCACGGCCGGUUGUGAUACAGCUCGGGACCAAACCAGGUUGUACGUGUGUUUACUCCUCAGACCAUGCAGGCUGGACGCCCCUGUAGAGGCGUGUAACCAUGGCAGCAUUGCAUGUGUGGAGGCCCUGCUGUGCCACCGGCCCGUCCCUCACCUGAACGGCCAGGUGGGCGGAGUCAGUCUGCUACACGAUGCUCUGUGGACACACAGACAUCGACAAGAUGCUCCAGCAUGCAGGAUCUGCUGCAGCAGAAAGACGGCCAUGGCCAGACUGCACUGGAGCUGGUUUCAAAUGCCAUGCUGAGGGAGGAGCUUUGACGCAGCGCCCUGACUGGAGAAGUGGCCCUGGAGGCAAUGAGGUCAGGGGCCUGCCCUUCCUGGAGGCCUGCUCCUGCCUGCUGACCCAUUGGCUCUUCAACCUCCUCCUCCUCCUCCUCUAGAACAUGCCCUGGGAUGAAUCCCGGCCCACAUGUCAAACUGAUUGUGUCAUUCAUAGUCUCAGGGGCCAUUUUGUUCUCGAUUUACAUUUUUAUAAACAUUUAUCCUGUGACAUCCCACUGCUAAUCUUUUUACUCUUUUUAGCAAUUGUUCACACUUGUUCAUGUUAUUUUGUGUUUUGUCAGCAGUGUUUUUAUAGAUUAUGUAUAAAUAUAUUUUGUAUUGGGAAUUGGUGCAAUAUGUAAUGUUAAGAUAACUAAGAUAAUUAGGUACUAUUACAAAUGUAUGUGUGAAUAGGAAAUGUGUUUUUUGCAUAUCCCACUCCCUCUGAGACCCUCUGAGACUCCCUCUGAGACCCUCUGAGACCCUCUGAGACCCUCUGAGACACCCUGAGACCCUCUGAGACACCCUCUGAGACCCUCUGAGACCCUCUGAGACCCUCUGAGACCCUCUGAGACACCCUCUGAGACCCUCUGAGACCCUCUGAGACCCUCUGAGACACCCUCUGAGACCCUCUGAGACCCUCUGAGACACCCUCUGAGACCCUCUGAGACCCUCUGAGACACCCUCUGAGACCCUCUGAGACCCUCUGAGACCCUCUGAGACACCCUCUGAGACCCUCUGAGACCCUCUGAGACCCUCUGAGACACCCUCUGAGACCCUCUGAGACACCCUCUGAGACACCCUCUGAGACCCUCUGAGACCCUCGGAGACUCCCUCUGAGACCCUCUGAGACACCCUCUGAGACACCCUCUGAGACACCCUCUGAGACCCUCUGAGACCCUCUGAGACCCUCGGAGACUCCCUCUGAGACACCCUCUGAGACCCUCUGAGACCCUCUGAGACCCUCUGAGACCCUCUGAGACCCUCUGAGACCCUCGGAGACUCCCUCUGAGACACCCUCUGAGACCCUCUGAGACCCUCUGAGACACCCUCUGAGACACCCUCUGAGACCCUCUGAGACCCUCUGAGACCCUCUGAGACACCCUCUUAGACCCUCUGAGACCCUCUGAGACCCUCUGAGACACCCUCUGAGACCCUCUGAGACUCCCUCUGAGACCCUCUGAGACCCUCUGAGACCCUCUGAGACACCCUCUGAGAGUGGGGUCAGAGCCAGGCAUCAGCGGUUGAUAAUGCAAUUCACAGCCGCAGUACAACUUCCUCACCUGAAUGGAACCAAGGGCUAUGUAGAUAGGUAGGUUUAACCAAUUACAGCAGACUUUUUUAAACUAUGGGUUGGAAAACCAAAGUGGAUCAUACUGUAGGUAUGUAAAAAGUGGCAAAACAUUUUCUGUCUGGGGUGGGGUGGCGAGUGGGGGGUAAUUGUGCUCAGGGGUUUUCCUCAUUCAGGCCGAGAUUCAAUCAAAGGUGUGUUAUAGAGCAUCGCUCGAAACAACUGCUGACAAUGCACAUUUAAAUGUACCUUGGAUUGAAUUACAGCCUCAAUGGGCAAGUUCAGUUUGCCUUCCCCGGUGCCCUGGGUAGUUUGUGAUUUCACUUUAGGACCAUUGGAAUGUUCUAAAAUAAGCAACUCGAUGGGAAUAAGUAGACCCUAGACAGCUGUUAUAAAAAAUGUAAAUAAUAAUAUAUAAAUCCUGUCUCUGUAAAUGGGCGUUUCCUCUCUCGCGUGAUCACACCAGAGAUUAUGGAGGAACUGGGAUUUCAUGCGUGAAGCAUGCUCAUGUGAGAGCGGGAAUGACAACUCACACAGACCAGGACCUUUUCAUUUUUUCAAUGAAAAACUGCCUUUAUAAGACGACAUCAUUAUACAGCAUCUUUGUAUGGGCAAUGCAAAACUAAUCUUGUUCUAAAGGAAGCUCCGUUUCAAGUGCUGAACUACCGUAAUUGGUUCAAUGAACACUCAGUGGGCAGAGCUUGGAGUGAAAUGUCAGUGGGCAGAGCUUGGAGUGAAACGUCAGUGGAGUGAGGUGAGAGUCAAAUAAAAAAAAAGGUCUUAAGUUGGAGGUGCAUGGAGGACAUUACAUGCUGACCACAACCUGCAAGGUUGUCAGUUUGAAUCCUGUUUGCCACUUUUGUUUUCCAACCAUACCCAACAUUCUUAACUAACGACACGUUUCUAAUCUAACUUUCGACGUUUCUAACUUCCUGACUGAACAGAAUGAAACAUGUGAAAAAAUUUAUCUGUUGCUUUCCCCCCUGCUUUCCCCUAUCUUGCUGAUGCCCGUUCUGUAAUAAGGUCUAUUUAUGUUACCUUUCCGUAGCAAGGAACCUCCAUGUCUUUGUGAGACGCAGAGUAAGUGAACAUAUGAUCUCCGCAUGUGUGGUUCCCACCGUGAAGCAUGGAGGAGGAUUUGUGAUAGUGCUUUGCUGGUGACACUGUCUGUGACCGCUGUGCCACACUUAACCAGCAUGGCUACCACAGCAUUCUGCAGCGAUACGCCAUCCCAUCUGGUUUAGGGGGACUAUCAUUUGUUUUUCAACAGGACAAUGACCCAACACACCUCCAGGAUGUGUAAGGGCUAUUUGACCAAGAAGGAGAGUGCUGCAUCAGAUGACCUGGCCUCCACAAUCACCCAAUCUCAACCCAACUGAGAUGGUUAGGGAUGAGUUGGACCGCAGAGUGAAGGAAAAAGCAGCCAACAAGUGCUCAGCAUAUGUGGGAACUCCUUCAAGACUAUUGAAAAAGCAUUCGAGGUGUAGCUGGUUGAGAGAAUGCCAAGAGUGUGCAAAGCUGUCAUCAAGGCAAAGGGUGUCUACUUUAAAGAAUCUCAAAUAUAUUUUGAUUUGUUUAACACUUUUUUGGUUACUAUUAUUCUACAAUGUAGAAAAUAGUAAAAAUAAAGAAAAACCCUUGAAUGAGUAGUUGUGUCCAAACUUUUGACUGGUACUGUAUAUAUUAUGGGAGAUUGGAAAUCAUGCAGACAAUUAAAUUGAUAGAAGCCACAAUCUAUAUACAAUAUUAAAGCUGAUCUACCCCCUAAAGAAAAAUAAAUAAAUAAAAGGAAUCAAGGAAUCAAAAUACAAUUGAGAUUCACUCCAUCUAUUCACUCUAAACCCUUUCCAAAACCCUGUUCUUCGAGUUAGGCCAGGAUUCAAUCGAACUGCAGGUUGUCCUUAACGUGGCUUUAAUAGGCAAUGGUCCCGAGCUAGCGGAGAUCUCACUCACUAGUAAACAAUGUUGACUCAAUCGGAAAUUACUUUAAAAGCUGCACUGUCGACAACCACCAGUCGGAUUGCAUUGUCCUAGCAACGCCAGGGAUUUGGUUUUGAUUUAUACUGAACAAAAUAUAAAACGCAACAUGGAAAGUGUUGGUCCCAUGUUUCAUGAGGUGAAAUAAAAUAUCCCAGAAAUGUU